UUGAACGCUGGCGGCAGGCCUAACACAUGCAAGUCGAGCGGUAGAGAGAAGCUUGCUUCUCUUGAGAGCGGCGGACGGGUGAGUAAUGCCUAGGAAUCUGCCUGGUAGUGGGGGAUAACGUUCGGAAACGGACGCUAAUACCGCAUACGUCCUACGGGAGAAAGCAGGGGACCUUCGGGCCUUGCGCUAUCAGAUGAGCCUAGGUCGGAUUAGCUAGUUGGUGAGGUAAUGGCUCACCAAGGCGACGAUCCGUAACUGGUCUGAGAGGAUGAUCAGUCACACUGGAACUGAGACACGGUCCAGACUCCUACGGGAGGCAGCAGUGGGGAAUAUUGGACAAUGGGCGAAAGCCUGAUCCAGCCAUGCCGCGUGUGUGAAGAAGGUCUUCGGAUUGUAAAGCACUUUAAGUUGGGAGGAAGGGCCAUUACCUAAUACGUGAUGGUUUUGACGUUACCGACAGAAUAAGCACCGGCUAACUCUGUGCCAGCMGCCGCGGUA
rnacentral:rRNA from 1 species